rnacentral:rRNA from 1 species
UAAGCCUGUGAAGGUGGCCUGUGAGGGUUGCUGGAGGUAUCAGAAGUGCGAAUGCUGACAUAAGUAACGAUAAAGCGGGUGAAAAGCCCGCUCGCCGGAAGACCAAGGGUUCCUGUCCAACGUUAAUCGGGGCAGGGUGAGUCGACCCCUAAGGCGAGGCCGAAAGGCGUAGUCGAUGGGAAACGGGUUAAUAUUCCCGUACUUGGUGUUACUGCGAAGGGGGGACGGAGAAGGCUAUGUUGGCCGGGCGACGGUUGUCCCGGUUUAAGCGUGUAGGCUGGUUUUCCAGGCAAAUCCGGAAAAUCAAGGCUGAGGCGUGACGACGAGGCACUACGGUGCUGAAGCAACAAAUGCCCUGCUUCCAGGAAAAGCCUCUAAGCAUCAGGUAACAUCAAAUCGUACCCCAAACCGACACAGGUGGUCAGGUAGAGAAUACCAAGGCGCUUGAGAGAACUCGGGUGAAGGAACUAGGCAAAAUGGUGCCGUAACUUCGGGAGAAGGCACGCUGACAUGUAGGUGAAGUGAUUUACUCAUGGAGCUGAAGUCAGUCGAAGAUACCAGCUGGCUGCAACUGUUUAUUAAAAACACAGCACUGUGCAAACACGAAAGUGGACGUAUACGGUGUGACGCCUGCCCGGUGCCGGAAGGUUAAUUGAUGGGGUCAGCGCAAGCGAAGCUCCUGAUCGAAGCCCCGGUAAACGGCGGCCGUAACUAUAACGGUCCUAAGGUAGCGAAAUUCCUUGUCGGGUAAGUUCCGACCUGCACGAAUGGCGUAAUGAUGGCCAGGCUGUCUCCACCCGAGACUCAGUGAAAUUGAACUCGCUGUGAAGAUGCAGUGUACCCGCGGCAAGACGGAAAGACCCCGUGAACCUUUACUAUAGCUUGACACUGAACAUUGAGCCUUGAUGUGUAGGAUAGGUGGGAGGCUUUGAAGCGUGGACGCCAGUCUGCGUGGAGCCGACCUUGAAAUACCACCCUUUAAUGUUUGAUGUUCUAACGUGGACCCGUAAUCCGGGUUGCGGACAGUGUCUGGUGGGUAGUUUGACUGGGGCGGUCUCCUCCUAAAGAGUAACGGAGGAGCACGAAGGUUGGCUAAUCCUGGUCGGACAUCAGGAGGUUAGUGCAAUGGCAUAAGCCAGCUUGACUGCGAGCGUGACGGCGCGAGCAGGUGCGAAAGCAGGUCAUAGUGAUCCGGUGGUUCUGAAUGGAAGGGCCAUCGCUCAACGGAUAAAAGGUACUCCGGGGAUAACAGGCUGAUACCGCCCAAGAGUUCAUAUCGACGGCGGUGUUUGGCACCUCGAUGUCGGCUCAUCACAUCCUGGGGCUGAAGUAGGUCCCAAGGGUAUGGCUGUUCGCCAUUUAAAGUGGUACGCGAGCUGGGUUUAGAACGUCGUGAGACAGUUCGGUCCCUAUCUGCCGUGGGCGCUGGAGAACUGAGGGGGGCUGCUCCUAGUACGAGAGGACCGGAGUGGACGCAUCACUGGUGUUCGGGUUGUCAUGCCAAUGGCACUGCCCGGUAGCUAAAUGCGGAAGAGAUAAGUGCUGAAAGCAUCUAAGCACGAAACUUGCCCCGAGAUGAGUUCUCCCUGAGACUUAGAGUCUCCUGAAGGAACGUUGAAGACGACGACGUUGAUAGGCCGGGUGUGUAAGCGCAGCGAUGCGUUGAGCUAACCGGUACUAAUGAACCGUGAGGCUUAACCUUACAACGCCGAAG